CCAGAGCCGGAGCAGAAGCAGGAGUAAGCUGAGGCAGCAGCCACAGAAGGGGACUACACCCCCAUCCCUGGCCUAGCCUGAGCCUAUCACUGGAGCUUCAGGGAUUCCCAGGUUUUGGAGAGGCCUCAUCCCUGCCUUGUACCUGACAACUCUGUUGAGGAGCACCUCUACUAAUGAGCAUUGAUCACCCAUGCAACUUUUCCAGUGCCGACUAUCGAUGCAAUGUGCUCAGCCUGCAGGCCCCAGUGAUCGUCAUUCCGGUGUUGCUCUCCUCCUCCACACUGCUUGUGAUUGGCUGCAUUGUCUGGAAGACAUGCCGGAGGUUGAGGACUGCCAGACAGGGCUCCCCAUCCCAGUGACAGGUGCCUGAGAUGAGAGCUCGGUGCUUCCUUGGGACCAUCUUCCUGCUUCCUGCUUAGCUUGGGCCUGUCUACCACCCAUCACUACAUGAGGGGAGCAGGAACCAUAGCAGCAGCACCUCCUUCUACUGGGACUAAUAGCCCAAACAUGAACCAGCAGGUAGAGACACAGUCCUGAAGAGUCAGCAGCUGCCACCAUCUUCGUUUUCUGCCUGGGGUGGGCAAGGCAAGAAGUUGUAAACAGCAGCCUAAAGACUGUUUUCCAUUCAUUCAUUCAUUCAUUCAUUCAUUCAUUCAUUUGACAAAUAUUUACUGAACAAGAUGGUCCAUAGACAUAUAUAUAUACACACAUAUAUAUAUAUCAGGCUUUCAACAAAUAUUUGUUGAGUUAAUGAAGGAUGCUAAACCAGCUUCUGAGUCUUUUCUAUUACCAUCUAACACUCACAUACUUCUCCAUCCUCUCUGCAAUUUUCCCCUAGAGUGAUGAGGGUCUCAAGCCAAGGACAUGUACCUUAUAGCCAAGAGGUGCUCUAUAAAUGAAUUCAUUUUCUCAGCAAAAAUGGAUUUAGUGCCAACCAUGUAAGGAGAGGCAAUGUGGCAUAGCAUAAGGUGGCCUAGUCUUGAAGUCUCUGUUUCCAAUCGCCAUUAAUCAUUUCUAUUCUGUGCUUCCUAGUUAGAAGAGUUGAGUAGUUCUGAUUCUACCUGGGUGCAUGGAGGUCCUGUCCUUUCCUUGGUUGUCUCUUGUUCCCAACACAACCCCUUUUGAUUACUGUCAUCAGCUAAUGAUUGGAUUCAACAUUUUGUCAGGAAGGUGUCACUCUUGUGUUUUCAACCUGUUAUUGGUCUUUGCUUUCCUUUUACAUACGCCUUAUUUGUAAAUUUAAAUUGAUCAAUAAAUUUCUAGUGCACCCCCCUCUGUCUUUUUAAACACUUCUCCCUUUCCUUCCUCAUCAGAACCAUGUGUUUCAUUAGAAUGUUAUUUUUAACAAAGGGUCUUCCAACCAAGUCUCCCUUGGGCUGACUUCCCUUGUAACAUUUUAGGCCUUGAGAGCCUUUCUCUGAACUUUUAACAAUUAACCAUCCUAAAGCCUAAGGUUCAUAGUCCCCUAUCCUCCUUCCAAAAUAAGCUUCCUAAGGCACAAGUCUGAUCACAUCAUUCCCCUGCUCCUAAGUAUUCAUUCAGUGGAUCCCUAGAAUUAAAUAUGAACUUCCCCAGCUUUCCCGUCUUACGUCCCUACCCCAUUGCCAGUACCCUAGCCCACUUCAAACUGCUUUGUAAUACUUAUCUGUGUAUGCAUUGUAUUCCUCCAUAGACUGUAAGCUUCCAUGUUUCAUGUUUGUCUUUAUCUCACCAACACCUAACAGAGGGAUUUGCUGCAGCUUAAGAAUUCACUGACCCAUAAGUUUUCAUUCUCAGAAGACCUCAGGACUUCACCCUUUAACUUGCAUUCUUUAUAAAACUUCCCUUGCUCUGUGAACCCCAACUUGAAGGACCAAGCUUCCUGGACUUUCCCAGCACCUCAGCAGGUUUGUCUUCCUAAGAUCCCAGACCUACAUCAUGUAGACCUCAAUUACCUCUCCCCGGCUUCUGCCACAGACACCCUUCAGGUUCCCUUUCCCAGCAUCCAGUCUUUGCUUUCCCUUCAAUGCACACCUGAACAUUCCAAACCACGAGUGCAUUUUACAGAGUUUAUUAACCAAAGAAUAUAUACAAAUUCAGAAAUCCUACAUCUGGAUAGGAGAACUAGAAGUGAGCAUACAAGAAAUCUCCCCAUUGCUAUACUAGGUGGUCCUGUGUUUGAACAACCUGGGUUCUCUGGACUGACCUCAUAAACCUUAGCUAAGAGCCACCUGAACCUAACCCCACCAAGGGACUAACAAUAAAAAAACAGAUAAGUGGAUCAUUUCCACAAUUCUUAAAAUCAAGAUUCAACCCAACUGGUCACCCCCAAAAAAAAUUCACAAAAGAUGCCCAUACUGUACAGGCAUAUUCUUUGUUCCCUACUAACAACCAGAACAUACAGUCUCUUGCCUCUCUGAUCAAAAUUUCCCGUCCUUCAACCUCUUCUGCUAUCUCAUUCCAUUUAAACCUGUCCUUUACCUUCAUUAUAACGUCUAAUUUCUCAAUUCCUUCCUUAGCUACUAGUCAAAUCCCCUGCUCUAGCUUGACUUCCCUCCUUUCACUGUUUUGAACUGCAAUUAGCCAUUUCCACAAGGCACUACCCAUCUUAUAUCAAGCAGUAGUUCCCACCUAAGCCUCAGCCUUGGGACAGCUAGGUGGCAAAGCGGACCAAGUGCUGGGCCUGGAGUCAGAAAGACUUGAGUUCAAAU